rnacentral:rRNA from 1 species
UACAGAGGUCUCAAGCGUUGUUCGGAUUCAUUGGGCGUAAAGGGCGCGUAGGCUGCGGGGCAAGUCGGGUGUGAAAUCUCAGAGCUCAACUCUGAAACUGCACUCGAUACUGCUUGCUUGAGGACUGGAGAGGAGAUUGGAAUUCACGGUGUAGCAGUGAAAUGCGUAGAUAUCGUGAGGAAGACCAGUGGCGAAGGCGGAUCUCUGGACAGUUCCGUGACGCU